AGUGAGACUGCUGGAUCAUAUGGUAAGCGUAUGUUUACUUUUGUAAGAAACUACCAAAUUGCUUUCCAAAGGAGCUGUGCCAUUUUGCUUUCUUACUGGCAGU
rnacentral:pre_miRNA from 1 species